UGUAUCUGAAAUCAAGCAGGAUCACCCGCUGAACUUAAGCAUAUCACUAAGCGGAGGAGAAGAAAUUAACUAAGAUUGCCUCAGUAACGGCGAGUGAAGCGGCAAAAGCCCAAAAUGUAAAUCUUGUGCACAUCGUGUACACGAAUUGUAAUCUAGAGAGAGUUCACUCAACGGGUGGGGUCGCAGAAGUGACCACGAACGGUCCGCCAGAGAGGGUGAAAGCCCCGUAUGUGGUGGCCCCGCUUAACGAGUGGGUUUUCGAAGAGUCGGGUUGUUUUGUAUUGCAGCCCUAAGUGGGAGAUAAACUUCUUCUAAGGCUAAAUAUUAAUGGGAAACCGAUAGCGAACAAGUACUGUGAAGGAAAGAUGAAAAGAACUUUGAAAAGAGAGUCAAAAGACUUGAAAUCGUUGAGAAGGAAGGGGUAGAAGUUUAUUCUUCGGCGUAUGCAGAGUUUAGUCGCCUAACCAUUGCAGGCUUCGAGUACGUCAAAGGCUCUGGUUUGCACCUGGGGAAGUGACUGGGUGAGUGUACGUCGUGAGGCAAGAUGGGGUCGAGCGGCCACAAAGGCUCUGCACAACCGGCUUCCUUCGGGAGGUAGUGUGUGGAUGUCGGUGGAAGCUCGGCCUGAGGAAGCUUCGGCGAUCUUGCCAAAAUGGCUUUUACCCACCCGUCUUGAAACACGGACCAAGGAGUCUAACAUGUAUGCGAGUGUGCUAGUGGAAAAACUAACACGCGUAAUGAAGGUGAUUGAUGCCAAGCGCAAGCAGCAGCAUCGACCGACCAUGAUCCUCUGGUGAAAGGUUUGAGUACGAGCAUAAAUGUUAGGACCCGAAAGAUGGUGAACUAUGCCUGAGUAGGGUGAAGCCAGGGGAAACUCUGGUGGAGGCUCGUAGCGGUUCUGACGUGCAAAUCGAUCGUCGAACUUGGGUAUAGGGGCGAAAGACUAAUCGAACCAUCUAGUAGCUGGUUCCCUCCGAAGUUUCCCUUAGGAUAGCUGGGACAAAUACGCAGUUUUAUUAGGUAAAGCGAAUGAUUAGAGGCAUCGGGGGUGCAAUGCCCUCGACCUAUUCUCAAACUUUAAAUUGGUAAGAACCCUGGCCUUUCUUAAUUGAGGCAUGGGGGCUCAAUGCGUGUCCCAAGUGGGCCAUUUUUGGUAAGCAGAACUGGCGAUGAGGGAUGCUCCUAACGUCGAGUUAAGGUGCCAAACUGCACGCUCAUCAGAUACCACAAAGGGUGUUGGUUCAUCCAGACAGCAGGACGGUGGCCAUGGAAGUCGGAACCCGCUAAGGAGUGUGUAACAACUCACCUGCCGAAUGGACUACCCCGAAAAUGGAUGGCGCUUAAACCGUGCGACCGAUCUCGACCAUU
rnacentral:rRNA from 1 species